UACGGGGGGAGCAAGCGUUGUUCGGAUUUACUGGGCGUAAAGGGCGCGUAGGCGGUCAGCACAAGUCAGUUGUGAAAUCUCCGGGCUUAACUCGGAAAGGUCAACUGAUACUGUGCGACUAGAGUGCGGAAGGGGCAACUGGAAUUCUCGGUGUAGCGGUGAAAUGCGUAGAUAUCGAGAGGAACACCUGCGGCGAAGGCGGGUUGCUGGGCCGACACUGACGCUGAUGCGCGAAAGCCAGGGUAGCAAACGGG
rnacentral:rRNA from 1 species